GGUCCUGGAGCAGUUCCUGGCUGUCCUGCCCACAGAGAUAGAGAGCUGGGUCAGAGAAUGUGGAGCGGAGACCAGUUCCCAGGUGGUGGCCCUGGCAGAAGGCUUCCUCUUGAGCCAGGCAGAGGACAAAGAGCAGCUGCAGGGGAAGUUGGCCAAGGCGUCCACAGAUUUCCCUGAGGCAGAGGAGGCUCCGCUGGACAGAGGGAUCUUGGAAGAGGGUGACGGAGCACCCUCCUCACUGGGGAGCAGAAAGACCCACAGAGAGAGUGAAUGGAUCCUGGGAGAUCC